AUUUAUAUAAUUUAUAUAAAAUAUUAUAUUUUCAAUAUAAAAAUAAUUUCAAUAAUUUAUAAAUU
rnacentral:tRNA from 1 species